UACGUAGGGGGCAAGCGUUGUCCGGAAUCAUUGGGCGUAAAGAGCGUGUAGGCGGCUCGAUAAGUCUGCUGUGAAAGUCCAGGGCUCAACCCUGGAAGGCCGGUGGAAACUGUCGGGCUAGAGUCCGGAAGAGGCGAGUGGAAUUCCCGGUGUAGCGGUGAAAUGCGCAGAUAUCAGGAGGAACACCGAUUGCGAAGGCAGCUCGCUGGAACGUUACUGACGCUGAGACGCGAAAGCGUGGGGAGCAAACAGG
rnacentral:rRNA from 1 species